AGCGUACACGGUGGAUGCCCUGGCAGUCAGAGGCGAUGAAGGACGUGCUAAUCUGCGAUAAGCGUCGGUAAGGUGAUAUGAACCGUUAUAACCGGCGAUUUCCGAAUGGGGAAACCCAGUGUGUUUCGACACACUAUCAUUAACUGAAUCCAUAGGUUAAUGAGGCGAACCGGGGGAACUGAAACAUCUAAGUACCCCGAGGAAAAGAAAUCAACCGAGAUUCCCCCAGUAGCGGCGAGCGAACGGGGAGCAGCCCAGAGCCUGAAUCAGUGUGUGUGUUAGUGGAAGCGUCUGGAAAGGCGCGCGAUACAGGGUGACAGCCCCGUACACAAAAAUGCACAUACUGUGAGCUCGAUGAGUAGGGCGGGACACGUGGUAUCCUGUCUGAAUAUGGGGGGACCAUCCUCCAAGGCUAAAUACUCCUGACUGACCGAUAGUGAACCAGUACCGUGAGGGAAAGGCGAAAAGAACCCCGGCGAGGGGAGUGAAAAAGAACCUGAAACCGUGUACGUACAAGCAGUGGGAGCCUCUUAAUGGGGUGACUGCGUACCUUUUGUAUAAUGGGUCAGCGACUUAUAUUCUGUAGCAAGGUUAACCGAAUAGGGGAGCCGAAGGGAAACCGAGUCUUAACUGGGCGUUAAGUUGCAGGGUAUAGACCCGAAACCCGGUGAUCUAGCCAUGGGCAGGUUGAAGGUUGGGUAACACUAACUGGAGGACCGAACCGACUAAUGUUGAAAAAUUAGCGGAUGACUUGUGGCUGGGGGUGAAAGGCCAAUCAAACCGGGAGAUAGCUGGUUCUCCCCGAAAGCUAUUUAGGUAGCGCCUCGUGAAUUCAUCUCCGGGGGUAGAGCACUGUUUCGGCAAGGGGGUCAUCCCGACUUACCAACCCGAUGCAAACUGCGAAUACCGGAGAAUGUUAUCACGGGAGACACACGGCGGGUGCUAACGUCCGUCGUGAAGAGGGAAACAACCCAGACCGCCAGCUAAGGUCCCAAAGUCAUGGUUAAGUGGGAAACGAUGUGGGAAGGCCCAGACAGCCAGGAUGUUGGCUUAGAAGCAGCCAUCAUUUAAAGAAAGCGUAAUAGCUCACUGGUCGAGUCGGCCUGCGCGGAAGAUGUAACGGGGCUAAACCAUGCACCGAAGCUGCGGCAGCGACACUAUGUGUUGUUGGGUAGGGGAGCGUUCUGUAAGCCUGUGAAGGUGUACUGUGAGGUAUGCUGGAGGUAUCAGAAGUGCGAAUGCUGACAUAAGUAACGAUAAAGCGGGUGAAAAGCCCGCUCGCCGGAAGACCAAGGGUUCCUGUCCAACGUUAAUCGGGGCAGGGUGAGUCGACCCCUAAGGCGAGGCCGAAAGGCGUAGUCGAUGGGAAACAGGUUAAUAUUCCUGUACUUGGUGUUACUGCGAAGGGGGGACGGAGAAGGCUAUGUUGGCCGGGCGACGGUUGUCCCGGUUUAAGCGUGUAGGCUGGUUUUCCAGGCAAAUCCGGAAAAUCAAGGCUGAGGCGUGAUGACGAGGCACUACGGUGCUGAAGCAACAAAUGCCCUGCUUCCAGGAAAAGCCUCUAAGCAUCAGGUAACAUCAAAUCGUACCCCAAACCGACACAGGUGGUCAGGUAGAGAAUACCAAGGCGCUUGAGAGAACUCGGGUGAAGGAACUAGGCAAAAUGGUGCCGUAACUUCGGGAGAAGGCACGCUGAUAUGUAGGUGAAGUCCCUUGCGGAUGGAGCUGAAAUCAGUCGAAGAUACCAGCUGGCUGCAACUGUUUAUUAAAAACACAGCACUGUGCAAACACGAAAGUGGACGUAUACGGUGUGACGCCUGCCCGGUGCCGGAAGGUUAAUUGAUGGGGUUAGCGGUAACGCGAAGCUCUUGAUCGAAGCCCCGGUAAACGGCGGCCGUAACUAUAACGGUCCUAAGGUAGCGAAAUUCCUUGUCGGGUAAGUUCCGACCUGCACGAAUGGCGUAAUGAUGGCCAGGCUGUCUCCACCCGAGACUCAGUGAAAUUGAACUCGCUGUGAAGAUGCAGUGUACCCGCGGCAAGACGGAAAGACCCCGUGAACCUUUACUAUAGCUUGACACUGAACAUUGAGCCUUGAUGUGUAGGAUAGGUGGGAGGCUUUGAAGUGUGGACGCCAGUCUGCAUGGAGCCGACCUUGAAAUACCACCCUUUAAUGUUUGAUGUUCUAACGUUGGCCCCUUACCGGGGUUGCGGACAGUGUCUGGUGGGUAGUUUGACUGGGGCGGUCUCCUCCUAAAGAGUAACGGAGGAGCACGAAGGUUGGCUAAUCCUGGUCGGACAUCAGGAGGUUAGUGCAAUGGCAUAAGCCAGCUUGACUGCGAGCGUGACGGCGCGAGCAGGUGCGAAAGCAGGUCAUAGUGAUCCGGUGGUUCUGAAUGGAAGGGCCAUCGCUCAACGGAUAAAAGGUACUCCGGGGAUAACAGGCUGAUACCGCCCAAGAGUUCAUAUCGACGGCGGUGUUUGGCACCUCGAUGUCGGCUCAUCACAUCCUGGGGCUGAAGUAGGUCCCAAGGGUAUGGCUGUUCGCCAUUUAAAGUGGUACGCGAGCUGGGUUUAGAACGUCGUGAGACAGUUCGGUCCCUAUCUGCCGUGGGCGCUGGAGAACUGAGGGGGGCUGCUCCUAGUACGAGAGGACCGGAGUGGACGCAUCACUGGUGUUCGGGUUGUCAUGCCAAUGGCACUGCCCGGUAGCUAAAUGCGGAAGAGAUAAGUGCUGAAAGCAUCUAAGCACGAAACUUGCCCCGAGAUGAGUUCUCCCUGACUCCUUGA
rnacentral:rRNA from 1 species